rnacentral:siRNA from 1 species
AGAACUUAAACCGCAACCCGAUCU